UUACUGGGCGUAAAGACGCAUGCAGGUGGUUUGUUAAGUCAGAUGUGAAAGACCCGGGGCGUCAACCUCGGAAUAGCAUUUGUAAACUAGGCAGACUAGAGUACUGUAGAGGGGGGUAGGAAUUUCUAGGUGUAGCGGUGAAAUAGCGUAGAGAUCUGAAGGAAUACCGGUGGCGAAGGCGGCCCCCUCGGACAGAUACUGACACUCAGAUGCGAAAGCGUGGGGAGCAAACAGGAUUAGAUACCCUGGUAG
rnacentral:rRNA from 1 species